rfam:Hadesarchaea archaeon YNP_N21 contig_14, whole genome shotgun sequence.
UAUGCAGUGAUUCAAAGAUUCCAGACGCACAGGCUGCAUAUGAAAAGGCGAUAUCCUUCUUUUUACAUGCUUUUUCUGGAAAUGACCUCAUCUGGGGGGCAG